rnacentral:rRNA from 1 species
ACGUAAGAAUUACCUUUAGGAGGGACGAACAGUUGGAACGAACUGCUAAUACCCACUAUGCUUAUAGUGAAACGGUUUUACCGUCCUAAAGAAGAAGCUUGCGGCUGAUUAGCUUGUUGGUAGGGUAAGUAGCCUACCAAGGCGACGAUCAGUAUCUGGUUUGUAGAGGAUGAUCAGACACACUGGAACUGAGACACGGUCCAGACUCCUACGGGAGGCAGCAGUAGGGAAUUUUCCGCAAUGGGCGAAAGCCUGACGGAGCAAUACCGCGUGAGGGAUGACUGCCUAUGGGUUGUAAAC